CUAGAGUUCUAAGCCACUCAAAUAGCUGAGAGCAAGUUCAGGGCAAUAUAUUCACCAUUAACAUUGCAAUGAUGCAAACUUGUGAUGGUGCUUAGACUGACCCUUUUAUGUUGGUGGAGAAAUUUGGUAAUGACCAAUAGUGAUGUGAGAGUGGAUGGUAAUGAUGAUAAGAGAGGGCAAUGCCUAAUGGUGGUGAGAGAGGAAGGGGGUGAUACACAUCACUCCUGCUCUCUCUGAUUACCAUUAGACCUCACUCCUUCUCUAUCCCAUCAACAAUAGGC